CGCUCACGAAGCCUGGCUUACUGACGCGCCUCAGGUACGGACCGCCGCCUUCUCUACAUUGUAGAUCAGCCACCGUUAGUCAUGACUCAGUGAACGGACCGUGGAGAAAAUGGAAAGUGCUCGCGGCUCGAGACCGUUUCAGCACCACUUCGGCUGGACAGCGCAACAGCUUCUUUUUUUUGCUUCUUCUUCUCUUUUUUUUCUAGACAGGAUCCCGAGGUGGGGGGUUUCUUUUUGAAAUUGCACGAGCGUGCGUGAUGGAGUUCGUCGAACAGGAACAAGCUGCAACAGCAUCAGAUUAACAAGACAUCAAACAUUCCGCUUUGGUCCGAGUCUGAAAAGAUGAUGCGGGAAGUCUUGUAAGCAGCACGCAGUAAAGCAUCCAGCAGCACCGGACAGAACGAUCACACUGUCUACUGGCUUGGAGAGGUGAGAACCAAACAGAUGGCGAAAGCAAAUUAGAUUAGCUGUGUUCACCACAUAUAGAAUAGCAUCCUUCUGCAUGCUUACUUAUCUUGAAGGAUUUUCCUACAUAUGCAAUCAUUAUAUGCAUAAUUUAGAUGUUCUGAAAGCAACUUAGCUGCAUGGAUGGAAUGUUGGCUUGCUCUGUAUUCUUAAUACAUAUACACUCUACACGUUUGACAUUUAUUAUUGAUUACUGACAACAGUUACUGUACUCCAUCAACUCAACAGUGGCCAGAUGGUAAAAAUGCUUUCUAUUUACCACACUGCUCUAAGGUGAUGGAUUGGCUGGGAAACUCUUCUAUGGAAGUUUGCUCUCAUUUGGUGUUGGUCGUGGGGGGUAUUGAGUUCUUCUGUUUUCAUGAAGAUGUUGAUGGUUAGACAGAAUGGCUUCAAUACUUGGAUUAGGAAUUAUUAUGUAUUUAGUUUUACUGUGCAUGGUAUAAAAUACGUUCCAUGACAUUAGAAUGCUUGAGGGAGUCUUUUCUUUGAAAUAAAGCAGACACUGCUAGACUCUGGGUGACUUUCAAAUAUCAAUUCAAUUCAGCAUAAUUGAG
ensembl:lncRNA